rnacentral:rRNA from 1 species
UACAGAGGUCUCAAGCGUUGUUCGGAUUCAUUGGGCGUAAAGGGUGCGUAGGUGGCGUGGUAAGUCGGGUGUGAAAUUUCGGAGCUUAACUCCGAAACUGCAUUCGAUACUGGCGUGCUUGAGGACUGGAGAGGAGACUGGAAUUCAUGGUGUAGCAGUGAAAUGCGUAGAUAUCAAGAGGAACACCUGCGGCGAAGGCGGGUUGCUGGGCCGACACUGACGCUGAUGCGCGAAAGCCAGGGGAGCGAACGGG